GAUGAACGCUGGCGGCGUGCCUAAUACAUGCAAGUCGAACGCUGGAGAUAGUGCUUGCACUAUCGAAGGAGUGGCGAACGGGUGAGUAACACAUAAGCAACCUGCCCCUAUGUCUGGGAUAACUGUUGGAAACGAUAGCUAAUACCGGAUAGGUUAAGAGAAGGCAUCUUCUCUUAAUUAAAGGUUAGAAACGCAAAGGGAUGGGCUUAUGCCGUAUUAGUUAGUUGGUAAGGUAAUGGCUUACCAAGACGAUGAUACGUAGCCGACCUGAGAGGGUGAACGGCCACAUUGGGACUGAGACACGGCCCAAACUUCUACGGAAGGCAGCAGUAGGGAAUUUUCGGCAAUGGGGGCAACCCUGACCGAGCAACGCCGCGUGAGUGAUGAAGGCCUCGGUUGUAAGACGUCUGUUAUAAGGAAGAAUAGACUAGGAUAGAAUACUUAGUAGUG
rnacentral:rRNA from 1 species